rnacentral:rRNA from 1 species
GAUUCUGGCUCAGAACGAACGCUGGCGGCAGGCCUAACACAUGCAAGUCGAGCGCGCCCUUCGGGGUGAGCGGCGGACGGGUUAGUAACGCGUGGGAACGUACCCUUUGGUAGGGAAUAGCCACUGGAAACGGUGAGUAAUACCCUAUGAGCCCUUCGGGGGAAAGAUUUAUCGCCAAAGGAUCGGCCCGCGUUAGAUUAGGUAGUUGGUGGGGUAAUGGCCUACCAAGCCUACGAUCUAUAGCUGGUUUUAGAGGAUGAUCAGCAACACUGGGACUGAGACACGGCCCAGACUCCUACGGGAGGCAGCAGUGGGGAAUCUUGGACAAUGGGGGCAACCCUGAAUCCAGCCAUGCCGCGUGAGUGAAGAAGGCCUUAGGGUCGUAAAGCUCUUUCGCCUGUGAAGAUAAUGACGGUAGCAGGUAAAGAAACCCCGGCUAACUCCGUGCCAGCCGCCGC